AUGUUUGUCGAUCUUUCACCAUUGGAUUCUGCCCCGCAAAUCGUUCGUGGUCCGGCCAGUAGGAAUGAGAGGCACCCAAUGGUAUUUACCCCACCGAGCUUCAGCCUUGGCAUCAGUCAAGAUCAACCGGUGGUGCAAGAUACUUUGCCAGUUGCCUUUGCUUUCCCAGGAGGCAUGCCCGCAGUGAUGGCGCAGCCAAUGGUCGAGGGAAGGAAGGCUGUCAAGUUCGCGGAGCCGAUUGUGCAAGGCACCCCUGAGGUGAUUUCACUGUCACUUGAAGAAACUUACCGCAAGAUCGAGGAGGCAUCAUUGCAGAGGAGGACCUCACGAGGGCAAGGGCAAUCAAGUUCCAACGUGCCUGCAGAUACGGCAUCUGAGGAUACCAUCAGGAGUGCCACCCCUGGUCCUGUGAGGCAGCAGAGGGUAGUUCACCCACCUCCCGCGGAAGACUACCACCACAAAAUCCUGAGCAAGAAUUUUGCUCAACAUGUCUGCUUAUCAUUUAUUCACUUUUCAAAUGCAGGUCAUGUUCCCCAUGUUCCAGGAUCUUGCACCACAUGA
rnacentral:rRNA from 1 species